rnacentral:rRNA from 1 species
UUUGUGCGACGCAGCUAACGCAUUAAGCGCCCCGCCUGGGGAGUACGAUCGCAAGAUUAAAACUCAAAGGAAUUGGCGGGGCCCCGCACAAGCAGCGGAGCAUGCGGCUUAAUUCGACGCAACGCGAAGAACCUUACCAAGGCUUGACAUAUACAGGAAUACGGCAGAGAUGUCGUAGCCGCAAGGUCUGUAUACAGGUGGUGCAUGGUUGUCGUCAGCUCGUGUCGUGAGAUGUUGGGUUAAGUCCCGCAACGAGCGCAACCCUCGUUCUGUGUUGCCAGCAUUUAGUUGGGGACUCACAGGAGACUGCCGGGGUUAACUCGGAGGAAGGUGGGGAUGACGUCAAAUCAUCAUGCCCCUUAUGUCUUGGGCUGCACGCAUGCUACAAUGGCUGGUACAAACGGCUGCGAUACCGCAAGGUGGAGCGAAUCCGAGAAAGCCAGUCUCAGUUCGGAUUGGGGUCUGCAACUCGACCCCAUGAAGUCGGAGUUGCUAGUAAUCGUAGAUCAGCAACGCUACGGUGAAUACGUUCCCGGGGCUUGUACACACCGCCCGUCACAUCACGAAAGUCGGUAACACCCAAAGUCAGUGGCCCAACCGCAAGGAG